rnacentral:rRNA from 1 species
GAUAAACGCUGGCGGCGUGCCUAACACAUGCAAGUCGAACGUCCGUGCGGCAACGCACGGGAGUGGCGGACGGGUGAGUAACACGUGGGUGACCUAUCCCCAAGUGAGGAAUACCGGCGAGAAAUCGCCGACAACUCCGCAUAGCCUCGAGAGAUCGAGGAAAGUCUCGCAAGAGAUGCUUAGGGAGGGGCCUGCGCCCGAUUAGUUAGUUGGUGGGGUAAUGGCCUACCAAGGCUGCGAUCGGUAGCUGGUCUGAGAGGACGAUCAGCCACACUGGGAUUGAGAACGGCCCAGACUCCUACGGGGGGC